GAGUUUGAUCAUGGCUCAGAUUGAACGCUGGCGGAAUGCUUUACACAUGCAAGUCGAACGGCAGCACGGGAGCUUGCUCCUGGUGGCGAGUGGCGAACGGGUGAGUAAUGCGUCGGAACGUACCGAGUAAUGGGGGAUAACGCACCGAAAGGUGUGCUAAUACCGCAUACGCCCCGAGGGGGAAAGCAGGGGAUCGUAAGACCUUGCGUUAUUCGAGCGGCCGACGUCUGAUUAGCUAGUUGGUGGGGUAAAGGCCUACCAAGGCGACGAUCAGUAGCGGGUCUGAGAGGAUGAUCCGCCACACUGGGACUGAGACACGGCCCAGACUCCUACGGGAGGCAGCAGUGGGGAAUUUUGGACAAUGGGGGAAACCCUGAUCCAGCCAUUCCGCGUGAGUGAAGAAGGCCUUCGGGUUGUAAAGCUCUUUCAGCCGGAACGAAACGGUACGCUCUAACAUAGCGUGCUAAUGACGGUACCGGCAGAAGAAGCACCGGCAAACUACGUGCCAGCAGCCGCGGUAAUACGUAGGGUGCGAGCGUUAAUCGGAAUUACUGGGCGUAAGGCGUGCGCAGGCGGAUUGUUAAGCAAGAUGUGAAAUCCCCGGGCUUAACCUGGGAAUGGCAUUUUGAACUGGCAGUCU
rnacentral:rRNA from 1 species